AGGUGGGAGGAUUGUUUGAGCCUGGGAGGUGGAGGUUGCAGUGAGCUGAGAUCAUGCCACUGCACUCCAGCCUGGGCUACAGAGCAAGACCUUGCCUC
rnacentral:miRNA from 1 species